AGCAAUCUGUCCCAGACAGGGGAAUAACAGAUGGAAACAUCUGCUAAUACCGCAUAAGACCACGUCCUCACAUGGGGAUGAGGUAAAAGGAGAAAUCCGGUUUGGGGUGAGCUCGCGUCCGAUUAGCUAGUUGGCGAGGUAACGGCCCACCAAGGCGACGAUCGGUAGCCGACCUGAGAGGGUGAUCGGCCACAUUGGAACUGAGAGACGGUCCAAACUCCUACGGGAGGCAGCAGUGGGGAAUAUUGGGCAAUGGGCGAAAGCCUGACCCAGCAACGCCGCGUGAGGGAAGAAGGUUUUCGGAUUGUAAACCUCUAUCGUGGAGGACGAAGGAAGUGACGGUACUCCACAAGGAAGCCCCGGCUAACUACGUGCCAGCAGCCGCGGUAAUACGUAGGGGGCAAGCGUUGUCCGGAAUGACUGGGCGUAAAGGGCGUGUAGGCGGCCGAUUAAGUCUGGAGUGAAAGUCCUGCUUUCAAGGUGGGAAUUGCUUUGGAGACUGGUUGGCUUGAGUGCGGAAGAGGUAAGUGGAAUUCCCAGUGUAGCGGUGAAAUGCGUAGAGAUUGGGAGGAACACCAGUGGCGAAGGCGACUUACUGGGCCGUAACUGACGCUGAGGCGCGAAAGCGUGGGGAGCAAACAGGAUUAGAUACCCUGGUAGUCCACGCUGUAAACGAUGAGUGCUAGGUGUAGAGGGUAUCGACCCCUUCUGUGCCGCAGUAAACACAAUAAGCACUCCGCCUGGGGAGUACGGCCGCAAGGUUGAAACUCAAAAGAAUUGACGGA
rnacentral:rRNA from 1 species